UAUUGCACAAUGGGCGCAAGCCUGAUGCAGCCAUGCCGCGUGUAUGGAGAAGGCCUUCGGGUUGUAAAGUACUUUCAGCGGGGAGGAAGGGAGUAAAGUUAAUACCUUUGCUCAUUGACGUUACCCGCAGAAGAGGCACCGGCUAACUCCGUGCCAGCAGCCGCGGUAAUACGGAGGGUGCAAGCGUUAAUCGGAAUUACUGGGCGUAAAGCGCACGCAGGCGGUUUGUUAAGUCAGAUGUGAAAUCCCCGGUCUCAACCUGGGAACUGCAUCUGAUACUGGCAAGCUUGAGUCUCGUAGAGGGGGGUAGAAUUCCAGGUGUAGCGGUGAAAUGCGUAGAGAUCUGGAGGAAUACCGGUGGCGAAGGCGGCCCCCUGGACGAAGACUGACGCUCAGUGCGAAA
rnacentral:rRNA from 1 species